AGGAGGGACAAGCACAGUGGCUGUGGCCAGCUCUAGAGCCCUGGAGUCAGCUCCCGCAGGAACUACAGAGCUCUCCGUCUGCAGGGCCUGGAUGCUGCUAGGGCAGG
rnacentral:pre_miRNA from 1 species